rnacentral:lncRNA from 1 species
UAACAUCCCAUAUAUCCCAUAUAACCCCAUAUAACCCCAUAUAACCCCAUAUAACAUCCCAUAUAUCCCAUAUAACCCCAUAUAACCCCAUAUAACCCCAUAUAUCCCAUAUAACAUCCCAUAUAUCCCAUAUAACCCCAUAUAACAUCCCAUAUAUCCCAUAUAACCCCAUAUAUCCCAUAUAACCCCAUAUAACCCCAUAUAACCCCAUAUAACCCCAUACAAUCCCAUAUAACCCCAUAUAUCCCCUAUAACACUCACUGAGUCUGAGUGAUCCCGCUAACCCCCUAAUGACGGUUAUGGGGUUUUUGGGGUCGGUGCAGAACUGCAGCAGGACGGGGGAGAACGCGUCCCGUUUGCUCUCCAGCUGUGGGAGCAGCCAAUCAGAGCCCGACCCUGACGCCACGCCCACCCCCCAGCAGCCAAUAGGAACGCAAGGAAUCCCCUCUUCCCUCCCACGCACACACAAUCCACGCCCGCGGACCAAUGGGAGAGGGAGACGCUCAGAUACUGACCAAUCGAAGAGGGGAUGCCCAGGGAUACGCCCACCCAUCGACCAAUCAGAGAGAGGACAGCUGGGGAGUGAGCCAAUCAGGGAGGGGACGCCCCGGGGGAUGCCCAAUCAGGGAGGGGAUGCCCCAGGAGUGCUUAUCUCUGAGCCAAUCAGAGAGGGGAUGCCCUCAGAGAUGCCCAACCACAGACCAAUCAGAGAGAGGACGCCCGGGGAGUGCCUAUAUCUGAGCCAAUCAGAGAGGGGAUGCCCCAGGAGACGUCCAAUCAGAGAGAGGACACCCGAGGAGUGCCUAUGUCUGAGCCAAUCAGAGAGGGGAUGCCCAGAAAAACACCCCCAGGGUCAACCAAUCAGAAAGGGCAUCUCCCCCCCCCCAAAAAAAAAAGGAAUUGGGGCAAUAAACCAAUCAGGAAAGAGACGCCCGGAAAAAGCACCUGGGAAUCAACCAAUCAGAGAGGAGCUCCCUAAAACACACCCAAUGGGGAAGCGAGAAGCUCAGAAACGCACUCUGGGCAUCAGCCAAUCAGGAUCCUCCAGAAAACCGCCCCGCCCCCAAUCGGGCAUCGACCAAUCAGAGAGGAGAUCAGACACUAGCCCCCCUCCCCCGGCAGCCAAUGGGAGCACAGGGUGGUCAUGGGGCAGCCAAUGGGAGCGCAGGGUGGAAUGGGGCAGCCAAUGAGAGUGCAGGGUGGAAUGGGGCAGCCAAUGGGAGCGCAGGGUGGAAUGGGGCAGCCAAUGGGAGCGCAGGGUGGAAUGGGGCAGCCAAUGGGAGCGCAGG